rnacentral:rRNA from 1 species
UACAGAGGGGGCAAGCGUUGUUCGGAAUUACUGGGCGUAAAGGGCGCGUAGGCGGCCUGCUAAGUCGAACGUGAAAUCCCCGAGCUCAACUCGGGAACUGCGUCCGAUACUGGCAGGCUUGAAUCCGGGAGAGGGAUGCGGAAUUCCUGGUGUAGCGGUGAAAUGCGCAGAUAUCAGGAGGAACACCGGUGGCGAAGGCGGUUCUCUGGGAAUGUCCUGACGCUGAGGAGCGAAAGUGUGGGGAGCGAACAGG